rnacentral:rRNA from 1 species
UAUUGGGCGUAAGCGCGCGUAGGCGGUUUUUUAAGUCUGAUGUGAAAGCCCACGGCUCAACCGUGGAGGGUCAUUGGAAACUGGAAAACUUGAGUGCAGAAGAGGAAAGUGGAAUUCCAUGUGUAGCGGUGAAAUGCGCAGAGAUAUGGAGGAACACCAGUGGCGAAGGCGACUUUCUGGUCUGUAACUGACGCUGAUGUGCGAAAGCGUGGGGAUCAAACAGGAUUAGAUACCCUGGUAGUCAAGGGCG